AAAGAAACUAGAAAGGCGACAAGAAGGACGGAAAACAACACGUAUGGAAAUAUGUGGAUAAGCAGAAGCAAGAACUUUACUAAGUUGUGUACGGAUAUGAAGACCAUGAUGUCCAGUGAAAGGAAGGCAAAAGUAAACAAUUUUCUUGGAACAUGUAUGGACCUUGGCCUUGGUGUUGUAAAUCCUGUCAAGAAAUGUCCUAAUGCAACUAUCUAUAAGUGCUUUAGGAUAACCAUUGGAAGAAAAGGUUUUCUUAAAAUUUUCCAUUUCAGACUGGAAAGAUAUGUAAGAAGAACAAAUGUUGAAAUAUCGAGAUAUAAGAGAGAAGAGGAGACCUUUUUUGUACAUCAUUGGAAUAAAGCUAUCAAAGUUUGUGAAUAAGCCAGUUGAAGUGCAUUUGUGAUGGACAGAGGUCGUGAAUGAGCCGUUUGAACGCAUUAC